CCCUUAGAUGUUCUGGGCCGCACGCGCGCUACACUGAUGCAUUCAACGAGCCUAUCCUUGACCGACAGGUCCGGGUAAUCUUUGAAUCUGCAUCGUGACGGGGAUAGAUUAUUGCAAUUAUUAAUCUUCAACGAGGAAUGCCUAGUAGGCGCAAGUCAUCAGCUUGCGUCGAUUACGUCCCUGCCCUUUGUAUACACCGCCCGUCGCUCCUACCGAUCGAAGAGUUAGGUGAAUUGUUUUGAUCGAUAAGAUUUGACUAUGGUCAACUCUCGUUGUGAAAUUCUGUGAAUCUGACUGUUUAGAGGAAGGAAAAGUCGUAACA
rnacentral:rRNA from 1 species